rnacentral:lncRNA from 10 species
GGGGACACGAUGACUUCUUUCUAGAGCAGGGACUUAGAGAACCGAGUCUUUAUGCAUGAAUGUACCUGCAUAACCAUUUGCUAAAUAGGGCCCGGAGGAGGCUCAUAGGAGGGUGUAGGGGCAGGAGCCUUCUGGCUUUGAGCCCCAGGGUUGAAGCUGGAGCUUUCCCAGGUGGAGAAGACACAGCGAAGACCAGGGCGGGACGGCCCGUGGCAGGUGCCGCACACCGCGCCGUGGGCUGAGGGACAGGUCAGGACCCCAGGCACAGAGGUGGGUGGCCAAGCCCCGGCUCCCUGGCCCCUCUCCGAGGCACCAGGGCGUGGUCCCGAGUUUGGACUCAGAAGAGACUGUGCAGAGGCUGUGUUGUCCCCCACAGGUGUGCCCCUUUCAUGACACGUCACAGCAGAGCCCCACGAUGGCCUCUAAGUGUAAGUGGAGGGAAGAGUUGCUGGUCUCUCGCUUUAAAUCACAAGCUGGACAUGGCUAAGCUGAGUGAGGCAGGCAGGUGAAGGCCAAGGUCGAUAGCUAGGCCUCUUGCACCAGUGAGCCAAGUUAUGAAUACCCAGGAAAUGUCCUUGAAGGAAGUUAAAAUGCUACUCCAGUGGACACACAGUUGCCAACAAGUGAAACUGCCUCCUUGCUGAUGUGGAGAAAGUUCGAGUGGUCCGGACAGAAGAUCAAACCAGCCAUGACCCUCCCUUAAGCCAGAGCCUCGACCAGAGCAAGGCCCUAACUCUCUCCAACUCCACAAAGGUGGAGAGGGUGAGGAAGCUGCAGAAGAAAAGUCUGAAGUCCACAGAGGUUGGUUCAUGAGGUUUAAGGAAAGAAGCCGUCUCCGUAAGGUAAAGAUGUGGCUUCUUCGCAGGCUGCCAGGGUGAGGCCGCAUCAGGAGGCUACGUCUGCGGAGCCAUCCCAGGAGCAAUGGGCAGCGUCUGUGGGUCUAGUGGCGAGGUCUCUAGUUCUGAGUCUCCAGGGAGAGGUGCGCAGGGAGCCCAGGGCCCCCCUUCCCCCACGGCACACAAACGUCUAUCUCCCCGCAGCCUGCACCGAUCCCUCGUGAACCACGGGACCGCGUGCGGUUAUUCUCAGCUCAGAGAUAGGCCCUAGACUGGAGCCCAGCUGCACACACCUCAAAACGAACGUCCGAGACUCCAGGGCUGCAGUCACUCUUGGACGAAUUCUAAGGUCAUCCCAGUCCUCUCAGGGGAGAGGGCACAGGCUGCAGGACCCGGUGACCAGCCAGCUCUGAAGCGCCUCUCUUCCAACUCCACUCCAGUUCCAGCAGCACAGAGACCCAGAUGGGCAUCCAUCCACGCUGGGGUCAGGCCCAUGCGCCAAGCUCCUCUGAGUAGCCUGAGUCCUCAGCCAUGGUGACCCCACGUGGAAAAGUCUUGAAACUGACGUCUCAAAGAGGAUGAUGUGUGAGCGACCGUGACAGCAGCACAAAUCCCAGGUGGACAGGACACUCCGGCUGCCCCGAGUGGCCGAGGACGGGUCGGCAUCUCCUGGCAUUUUUGUCCGUUUUGGUGGCAGGUGAGCCCAGCACGUAGGGAGGGAUGGGCAGCCCACAGCCGGGACUGGACGACUCAGAAGUUCCGGCUAAGGUAGGAUAACUUGGGCAGGCUUCCCGAGUCCCUCCCAGCUGCGGUCCCCUGGCCCCCACUUGCUCAGUGGCCAGGUGUGGGAGGAGCCAGCGGCCCUGUGCCAAGGGAGCACGAGUUGGGGCGUGUGGGGAUGGGAGGCCGGGUCGAAGGCCGCCUUUCAGUGCAGGGAAGGACCUGAUACCACAGUCCAGCAGCAGAGGGAAAGCCAGGCCAGGGGUUUGAGGCCAGAGAUCUCAGAACCUUGGGAGCCAGCUGCUAGUCUGCAUUUCAGGGUGCCAGGAGUCCCUGGAGACGGGGAUGGAGCCCUGUGGGUGGAGACAGCAGGACUUCAGGUCACCAAUGAGGCCAGGGUGCUGGUGCUCAGGGUCCCAGCUGUGGGGGUCUCAGUUCUCCCAGCCCUGCUCCCAGGCUGACCCUCCAGGCCAGCCCCUCUCUGUAGGUCUGAGGAGGGUCCUUAUGGAGCACAGGUGGGGCUGGGGAAAUGGCACAUGUCUCCGCAAAGCUCCUGUGCCUCCUUUGCUCCGGAGAGCCUGCUCCUUCACAGAGGGCGUCUGAUACA